GGGCAGGGGCGGGGCCAGCGCGGCCCGCGGCAGUCACGCCGCCAGGGAAGGGUCUCGAAGUGGGGGCGGCGCUGACGUACGCGGCGCCGGCGUCGUGCGCACGCAGGCGGGAAGCGGCGGCCGGCGGGAGCGCUGUGUGAGCAGAAACAGGCUUCUCUGUGCGAGGGACGCCCGCGACCUCGGCGGGAGUUGGCGGCAGGCCAGCCGGGCGCUCGCCCUUCCCCAGCACCAGAGGGCGGAAUGCCCCGCAGCAAAAGUCCAUUGAAAGAAGCAAAAGUGUUAAAAAAUAAAGAAAAAGAAAACUUGCAAGAAGAAAAAUGGUAGUAUUGAUAUAAGAGAAAUAAAUUCUCAAAUGUGUGAAGCAGAGGGGACCAAACUGAAGCAAAAACCUUUCUGAAUUGAAUGUGAUGCGGGCAUGGAGCCUCUUGAGAAAGCAUUGUCGUCAUCUGCAAGCUGAAAGCUGGGAGGAUGCGUGUCCAGGUUCCAUCAGGAAGAACAACGUGUAGAGGUGGUUCCCCCACUGCUUCAGAGCCUGGGACGGUAGAGUACAUCCCUUCCACUCCCAGGACACUUUAGAAAACUGAGCGUGGCCGUACUUGACUGCCAGGAGGACAAAACAGUUUGUGCUGAGUAUCCAACAUUCUUCACUAUGAUUCCUCAAGAGGAGAACCCUGCUCCCAUCCAACAUUACUUGAUACUAAGAAAUUGUGGAGCUGCAUCAAAGGACAGUCCGGAUUCAGCCACCUGCUAUACUUAAAGUAGCGCCUUUCUACCAGCUCUAUCCAUCUGUUUUUAGAGCGGAUUUGUGCACCAUAAAGCUCUCUUCUCAUAGGAUAAAUUAUUUCAUAGGUUAGUUGUUUGAUCUGCCAGUGAAAUUGGCCCUAAUGAGUCCACAACUCCAGUUUUCCUGGUAUGCACUGAGCUCACAGCUUCUGUCUGAAUCCCAAGUUCAGACAGGCGUGUUUUACAUUCACUUGGAAUUCUGACUUAUACUUAAUAAUUAGCCAUUUUUAAUCUCAAAGUAUUUAUAUUA